CUCAGCUACACACAGGGUAUUUCAGAGACUUGCAACUGAGAAACUGAAUGUUCCAUCUCCAGAUAGCCAGCUUCAUUACGUCUUCUUUCCUUCACUCCAUUUUCUGCUUUUUUCAUCUGUUAACAGUUCUUGUUGCUCCUCAUUUUAGGGCUUCCAAGACAUCCUCAAAUACUCUCUUGCUGGUGUUAUCAAACCAAGCUGGGGUCUGCUCACUCAGUGCGGCAAAGCCAAACACUGACAUAGGGACUGCAGUGAGAGAAAGUGAGGCAUUUAUGGCAAGGCACCAAGCAAGAAGAGGUGAGCAGCUAACGCUGAAGACUCCAACUUCCCAAUGACUUACAGAUGAGAAAAAUCAAGAAUGAGGAGAGUUAGUACCAUGCAGAUGGUCCCAGGAUGAAACCAGAAUAUGAACUCAGGCAGUCCAGCUGCUCAACCUGUGUUCUUAACCUUCAUGCAUAUCAUGUGCCAGCCCUGUGUUGUGAUGGGUACUUGGGAAGAUGCCCACAAAAAGCACAUGAUACCUGUUCUCAAGAAGCUCACAGGCUGACGUAACAAAGUGCCACAAACUGGGUGGCUUAAAACAACAGAAAUUUAUUACUGCAUAGUUCUGGAGACUAGAAAUCUGAAACCAAGUUGUUGGCAGGUCCACGCUCCCUCAGAACCCUCUAGGGGAGAAUCCUUCCUCGCCUCUUCCAGCUCAGGUUCUAGCCACCUCCCGCAUUCAGAUACAACCACCAUCGCAGGUUGACUGUGUUCCCUGUCGUUUAAUCUUUCUCUACUUUGACAGAUGUUAGGCUUGCAUCAUGGUCUGAGGCUCUCCC
rnacentral:lncRNA from 1 species